rnacentral:rRNA from 1 species
UUUCCGCCAGAGCGUCACC